AGCUGGAGGUUCAAGGUGGUUUUCUGGGAAGCUGCUGCAUUUGGAGUCGCCAUGGGAGGAGCUGGAGGGCCCUUCCGCGGGGCAGAGCCCCGUGCUGGCUGCGGGACACCAGCACGGUCACGGCGCUCCUCUGGGCCGCACGGCUUUGCUGCCCCACACGCUUCUUGGUUUAGAUGCCAAAACCAAAGCUGCACUUUCCGAGGUGGCUGUUUGGAGACGAGCGGGGGCGGCGAAGGGAACUUGUGCCGACCUGCCUGUGCCACAUCUGUGCCCCAGCUCCCGCAGCUGGUUGUGCCGGUGCCUCCGUGAACAACUGUGCACAGGGGAUCAACUGCUCUGGUCACCAGGGUAAUCAGCCUCCUUUGUUUAAUGUUUGCUGGGAGACAGGUCCCUCUUAAUCUAUUACGGUGUCAUUAAAAGGGAAAAUGUUUGCUCUGUAGGGCCUCAAAUGGCCUUUUUAAACCACAGUAAAAAUGUAAUUACUAGCUCACUUAGGAAUUUAACCUUUUCUUGAUGCUAACAUGCACAGAUUUGUGUCCACAAAAGUCGGAGCAGUCAACGAGCUGCGGGAUCCAGUUUUGCCUGUAAUUUUGACCACUUUAUAAUGAAGUGUUGAAGAGAGACUCAUUUUGUAGCAUGACUGGAAGGGGAAAGCCUGAAAGGACCAGCACGUGUGCGGAAACCACCCAGCCCUGUGAGAUGGUCCACGGUGACAGUUAGGGUCCUGUGACCCUGGGGGAGCAGAUGGGCACCCCACGGGGGAGCAGAUGGACACCCCACGGGGGAGCAGAUGGACACCCCACGGGGGAGCAGCAGCACAAGGAGGAGAAGAGAAAGCCCUAAAGCCAGCUGAGAAGGCGCCCACUUCCAGCAGCUGCAGACUUUGCACAUCAGCAGCUCCCUCGAGGCCCUGGGCAAGAGAGACCCUCCAAGCUAACCUCUGAAAUAAGGCAGUGAAUCCUGCUCCUGGCUUUGCAUUGCAGCCGUGGACGCGCAUUGUGCCGUGGGACAGCACUGGUGCAGACCCGGUGGAGGAGACCGUGGGGCAGCAGCAUUCGCCCCCACAUCUGGAGAAGGUGCCGUUUUCUGAACCAAGUCGACCAGCUGCCAUAACACCAAUCUGUGCAGGGAUUUGUUCCUCCGAAGCGCAGAACGGCUGCUGGAGGGAGCAGCGGGGCGUCUGCAGGCCUUGCUCACCUGUUCUCACCGCGGCGCCGGGGCUGAUUUUGGGCCCCUCAUGCCAAGAGCCCUUGAGGUGCUGGAGCGAGUUCAGAGAAGCGCACAGAGCUGAGCUGUGUGAUGCACCCCACUGUGCUCCCCGCAGGGCUUGAAACAGGGCCAUGAAUGGUAGAAAGUGCCUAAGAAACACCUACUUUACUGAAAUGUUAUAAUCUUCCAGGCCCGUGGGGCCCUGGGGAAGCAGACCCAGCGCACAGGGAACGCACGCACAUGUACGCGGAGGGAGGGAGGAAUUUUCAGCAUGUGUGAAGAAUGUUAGCCUGGAGGCUCACAGCGGUCCUGAAAUCUGGAGCAGAGGCCAAGCAUUGCUUCUGUGAACAAGCGGAUUGUAGCUGUGGCUGGAGUGCAAGGAGCUGGUGCCGGGGCGGGCAGGAACGCCUUCGUCUGACGCCUGCAGCCCCCGCGGGACCCAAGUUGGACGGUGAGUGUCUGCAGAACACGAAACGUGUGCUGAUGUAAAGGAGCCUGAAAUAACGAGGGAAGCUUGGGGGACGCUGACACUCGAAUAAAUCCAAUUGUCCUGGAAGCGAACAGCCUCGGGAAGAUUGGAUCAUGCAUUAUUUCUACCCUUGCAAACGGCUCCCAGACGCGCGGCGCUCAAGCUGUGGAGGAUGCGCGAGCGAGGCCGCGGCACGUGCCGAAACGCCAGCGGGGAGCCGAGACCGGACCACCCGUCUCACCGGUAAAACCCGUGGGACCCAUGGGGACUGCGGCACCGCGACGUGUCUUGGCAGAACCAUGACCCCAUGGUGCCCAAACCCCAUCCUGCAGUCCCUUCGAGUCGAAUUUCUGAUUUCUGAGGAAACCUGGCUUCCUGACAACUCGGCUUCUUCUCCUUAUUAUAUGUAACACAUAACCUCCUUAAUAUUACAUACGGCAUGUUUAACUGCUUAAUUUACUCCGGGAAGUAUUGCCAAGUACAGCUAUUCUGUUGACAUAUCAUUUGCAUGAUAAACUAGUAUAUUUUAAGCCACAAAUAGGGUGCUUCUGUGAGCUAUCUGUCUGCGCUUUUACAAGCUACCAGCAGUAAAGUGUCUUCGCUGCUUGAAUUGGAGGACGCAGCCCCACACGAUGCACGGGGAGGGAAUGAAUGAUCCUUCCUUCAGGAGCAGAGCAGACUCCUGGCUUGCCUACGUCAAGGAGCCAGCUCUGUAGCCCUCCUGGAAUGAAUUCUUGGGUAGACAUUCCUUUGGACUCUUUUUCGGAUUCUAUUUUGGGUAAGACUGGAAAUUAUGCUUUUUCACUAGACAAAGGAGUGUCCCCUGCUGUGUGACCAAGAGAGAGGUGGUGGAUGAACCAUCCCUGAGACACCCCAGGCCAGGCUGGACGGGGCUCCGAGCACCCUGAGCUGGUGAAGAUGUCCCUGUCAUGGCAGGGGGGGCUGGGGAGGUCCCAACCCAGACCAUUCUAUGAUUCCUUCUGUCCCCACACAGCUGCACGUCUGUCUGCCCCCUCCCACGGGGCAGCACCACCUUCCUGCUCUCGGUCGGGUCAGGCUUGCAGUCAGAGCGCCCGCAGAGCUCCCAGGCCUUUGAAAGCUAAGGCUGACAUCCUGAAGUCUAAUUUGACACAUUUCCAACAGGGGAUGCAUUUAUUACAUUAGACAAGUUGAUGCAGCUCUCAGGUUGGGAAUUGCACUUAUUUGACAUAAUAAUGGUGUAAAGUCCUCUUCCUUUUAUUAUGUUAUCUCUCUUUAAUCAUGCAGAGACGCUCCCCAGUAAUUUUAAUCAAAGGCUCAAGCAUCACUUAUCUGAGGACUAAUGACUCAACUCGAUGAGAGGAGAAACUUUGAAGAGCUUGAACUGGGAGGAGCGAAAAAAGGAGAGUUUGUUUGAAACUUUUUCCUGUCUUCACGUGUGUGGUUAUUUCACCCGAUUUUAUCUGGAGAACCUUUGCGAGUCUGGUGAGCGGGACGAGCCGCGUGCUGCUGCUCUCCUGAACACGCUGCGUUUAGGAACGCGGCAGAGAACGAGGCGCUUUCAUCGGAUAUCCCCACUGGAAAGAGACGGUGUGGGCAAAACUGCUCUUUUCUGUCGAGAAAAAUAUCAGGUUGCCUGGAACUUUUUCUGUGUUUGAUGGGAAUAUUUAAAUGGUAUUUGUCUUGGAGUGAACCUUUUUCCUUCAAAUGCUGUUUCUAAUAUGAAAAGAAAGGGUCUUUUUAAACUUUGAACAGAAAUUCUUGUGGAAGCCCCAAAAACUUGUGAAAACACCCCAGCCCCAAAGGGGGUAUAAAGGAACUCACGUGAGGUUUGUAAGUACAAGGUUUCUGGUGCUCAUUCCUGCUGUUUUCACUGAAGCACCUGGUUGUGUUGGAAGGGAACUGUUCUGCUCUAGAUUUCCCCAUGGGCAAAGCCGCCGGAGCUGCUGGUGCAAGGACCGUCUCUGCGCAGCUGGGCGGGCCAGGCUCUCCCGCUCAGGGACAACGGUUCCUUCCUCACGUCCAGCCCGAAUCUCCCUCAAAAGUCUGUCCCCAUCUCUCUUAUCACCCCUUUUAAGACUGAAAGGCUGCAAUAAGGUCUCCCCGGAGCUUCUCUUCUCAGGACGGACAUCCCCAAUUCUCUUUGCUGUCCUCAGCAAAGGUGUCCCUCCUCAUUUCACCAUCAUUGUGCAGAUUCUUCUCCCCACACCCUUUUGCAGGCCGUGGUAACAAACCCUCCUGCUUUAGCCACUGGUGCUCCCAGCUUCUGCCCGUGGGCUCCCAGCACGGUCUGCGGGAGCGUCUGCAGGCUGGGGUGACCAGAACCAGCGGGGGCCGCUGGACGGAGACGCGGCCCGACCCGCCGCUCUGAUGAGCACGAGCCAAACGCACCCGUGAUGCCAGAUGGUUGCCGUGUUAUCUGCCGCAGUGGAUCUCCGGGCAGAUGGAUGCUGGAUAAACAUUUCACAACCGUGGGGUUAUUAUUGAUGCAAUUACUAUUAAUACUAUUUAUAAGUAUGAUGCUAACACAAACAUAGCACUGUAGUAAUGAACACAAAGCAUACUUAGCAUGAUUGCUGGUCUAAUAAUUAAUGAUGUCUACCAGUGAUACUAUCUGCUAUUACAACUAAUGAUGUAAUGGCAACAUAUCUUGAUUUCUAAAAGAUGUUUUGGGCAAAGCUCAGUGUGACGAGUGGGAGCCCGGGGGAGGCUGUGGGGCUGGAGAGGACACCCGGCUUCAGAGAAAAUUGUCAUGGGAGCCUGAAAACUGGGGAUACCAAUGAGCUUUGGGUCUUGGGAGAAGCAUUUCUGGGGCUGCAGCUGGUGCCAGCCAUUGUGGCGCUGUACGAGCCAUCUCCAAACCAGGCUUUGCAGCUUCCUGGGCUCUGAAUUCAGGGUGGUCAGAGCAUCUGGGCUCGAGCAAUUUGAAGUGUAUGGUUUGUGUUUUAGUGCCAAAGCAAAAGCAUUAACUGAGGAUCUCGGACCUGCUACUUGCCCGUGCUCACAUUUCAGCUCUGCUUCCGACCUGCUGUGCACUUUCUGUAAAUCUGUGCCUCCAUCUGUCUGGUCUAUUUUUACUGCAGGCUUAUUUUGGGCCAGGCCUUGGCUCUGUGUGUGUGCGGCUCCCGGCACGACGGGGCGUCCAGCCCAACCAGGACCUCCAGCUCCCGUCAGCGCCGCGACGGGAUGACUGCAGGUCCUGGUUGGAGCUCGGGCCUCGAUGCUGGUCCAGGGCAGGAUUGGUCUGGCCUGACCUGAAACACGGAGACGUGCUCGAGCCUGAGCUCGUUUCCAAGCCCAGUGGUUACCUGAGAGCCGACUGCAGUAUGAGGUGACUUGUUGUGCUUUUUUUGUCUCCAUAAGCAUUAUGGAGAGAGCUGAAAGUGUAUAACUUAAUUACUUAAUUGCUUAACUUGUGCGCAGAUUAGGGUGUAUGAAACUCAUCCGAAGUCUGGGUUGGAGAGAAGGGCCCAUUCUCCCCUUAAGGUGUAAAACUAAUACCGUGAGUUUAGAAGUAAUUUUGAUGCCAUGCAGGGAGAAAAACAAGCAAGCAAGUCUUUUCAGUACAUUCUUGCCCAGGAUGUCACGCAAUGGCCUGUCCCCUGGUGCCCUGAGCCCCAGGAGGUGGGGAGGACCAAGUACGAGCUCCCAGUUGGGGAAUGGGCAUCCUUUGAACGCCAUUGCAUCCCACGGAGCCCCUAAAACUGCUGGUACCAAACCCCAAAUUAUUCUGUGAUUCUCUGACAUAUGUAAGAAAAAUCCCUUUUUGUAAGCCUCUGAAUAUACCUUAAAAUAAUCAGGGCUAGACAUUUCUGCUCCAGCAGACCCAGAAUAGCUUAUGAAUGGCUUUAAACAGUAUUUCCCCUCUAUGUAUGUCACACACAGUAAGGGAGUUGGAGGUUCCUGCCCAGUACAACACGGGAAAGAUUCAUGGUAUGUGCUUCCCCCCCAUGAACUUGGCUUCCCAGCGCUUUGUUAAUGUGCAUUGAUUGUUCUGAGGAGUUUACUGCCCUGUGAGAAAGUCAUUCAGGGAUUUAUGGGGCUGGCUUUAAAUACGAAAGCGAGUCACUCCCCUGACCCGCCCGCGAUGUGCCUGAGCCCAGUGCCUCUUCGGGACGGGGACACCACCGUCCCGGGAAAGCCCUCCCAGGACGCUUCAUUCUGAAGACUUUUGCUGUGUUCGGAGCACACGAGUCCCCAUUUCCUACUGCUGGACCAUCUCCACCAAGACGUGCAAUGGGCUCCUGCAAACCUGGGAAGACUGAGUCGCGCUCAGCUGUAUGAUAAGUCGGGUAUUGAGGUGCCCCAGGGGAGAUGCUCAAAACCACGAUCUCCUCGUGGGCUGAAGGACCAGGAUGGACCGUCCUCGUGGGCGGCUGCAGUGCCAGCGCACCCGGCUGCCUGUCCCGCAGCUCCCCGGGCAGAGCCAGGUCCGUGUCCUGCUGUGCCGAAACCAGCUGUUCUGACAUCUGAAUGGAAACUGCACAGGAUUCCGGUUCUGCAUGUUUUGAAUUUUCCGUCAUCGUUUGGGACAAGCAAAUGUCAAAACAUCAGUUUGGGGCUUUCAUUGCAUAUUGUCUGAUGAUGCACUGAUUUGCUGCCUUGUAUCAGCCGGGCUCGACAGAUCGGGUGCAGCAGGACAGCGUCACUCCCGGCUCCUGAUCACUCCCAGGAGAUUUUUCCCACACCAGCCUGGAAAUGGCCCGUUCCUCACUCACUCAUGGAAGGGAUGCGCGGCGGGCAGGAGCAGCCGGGGAAAGGAGCUCCAAGGGAAUACUAAGGGAGCAUGGAAGAGUGGUAAAUGGUUCCUAAAAUGUAUAAACACGGGUAUUCACCCUGGAAAUGUCAUCCUAAGAGCUUCUGUGUGUCUGUUUGAUACUGAGAUACACCAGAACUCCCGUCCCGUUGACUCCACGUAUCAUCUGAAGACCGCGCUGAGAAAGGGCUCACUAAAGGUCCCCGGCCUGCAGGGAGGGGUCCCAGGGCCCCUCUGCUGGGCUUUACCUUCUUGCGGAUGCUGUACCCCAAAUCUGGCGCUGUGAAUUCAGCGCUAACGGGUGUGUGCGCAGAGUGAGGAUCCUCUGAAGAGCCAAUUUGCUGAGAGGGACCCCGGCUGCUUGUUGUAUCUGGCAAAACCUUCCUCGGCACCUCAGGGGAGACACAAGCUUGAAAUCUUAAUUAAAAAGCAGAACCCGGGGUUUCAUGCUAGGCUGAAAUUGUGACUCUCUUCCCUUUAUGGACAAUUCUUAUGCAAGCUCCUACUGUGUCUGUGGAUUGCUAAUUCAAAGCACGCCGCAGCUGUGUGCGGCGCAGGCCUGUGUCGGGAUCGAGAUUGUGCUCAUCCCUUCAUUGCCAGGAACCUUCUUUUUAUGUCCCCAACCCUUCCUUGUCAUCUACUUCAGAACCCCCCGGGGGAAUAUUGUCAACAUCUGCGGGGUGUGGAGACAGCACCAAUAAAACAAAGUAUUCAGCACUACAACUGUGUUUAUGGCCAAACAGUGAAAGGUCUGUAUCAGCAAAAGACAUUCCUGGUGCUGAGGUUCCUCUGGAGAUUGCAGGGGAAGGGGCAGAGCUGCUCGGACAAACGCACGAGCGUCUCCGAGAACAGCGUUUGAGAGACCUGUGAUUCAUUUCUCACUUUGAUACGAGCUGGAGGAAACCUGGGAAAGCCAGACUGCCGCUGUCACAUCUGACGCAGCCUGUAGCCAGCCCGGUGUGACAGAGCUGUCCCAUCUCCGGCUGGAAAUGGACCGAGGAUCCCAGCCUCUAGGAAGGGUUGGUUUUCUUUUCAUGUCUCAUUAGGGACGUACGAGCUCCUCUUGAUGCGCAGCUUUGGAACAUGUAACUUCAUUGCUUCAGUUUCUCCAUCACUGGCAGAAAAUACAAUUUUCUGUGCCAUUAGAUCAGUGAAUGGAAAGUGAUUGAGAAGGAACCUGGUAGUGAUGGAAGAGCUCAACAGGCCUGAAAGUGCAGUUCUUUGGGGUGGUUCUAAUAGGAACACACCCAGAAUUAGGGAGGUUUUAGGGCCAGGUGGCACUUUGGGAAGACAGAUGGAGCUGGGGAGACCAACAGCUCUCUGUGGAUCCCUGGGCACCAGGACCCACACCAGCCCUUGCCCAGCCGUGACUUGCACUUCCCGCAGAGACUCGAGGAAGAUUUGAGGUCAGAUUGGUGCCAGCGACAGAUGAAAUUCAAGAUAACUUUAUGGAGAAGGACUCUUUCAGACAAUGCCUGAUUCAAUUGUGAAACACACUGCCGGGGCCAGCGGAGACCAAAAGCAGAAAUGGGUUUGAAAAGUCAUUAGAAAAAUAUAUACAGAAAAGGGCCAUCAGGGGCUUUUAAAUACAAGGUACUUACAGAUAGAUCCUCAGGCUCAGGGAGGCCCCAAGCUGCAGAUCAUCAGAAGUGGGACGGGUUUAUGGCCACGUCUGUCCUGUUCUGGCUGUCCGAGAGGCUGGCCUAGCUCUGGUCCUUCAUCACGGGCUGGGUGCCCGUGCUCAGCCGUUCUGCUCCAGACAGAACAGGCCAGCGGUGGAGGGGUUGAUGGAUUAGUCUGUCAUCUCCGCAAAGAGAGGCUGCGGCUGCCUAAGGGCACGGCUGUAAAUGAGCCCCUAAUGGAUUCUGCUCCUAAAGCCUCCCUGUAAUACAGAAAUCGCUGCAUCCUUUAGAAGUGGGAAAGGUGAGCAGAGGUAGGUUUUGGGUUACACCAGAGGGAAGAUGGAGCCCUGACCCUAUCUGCACCUUUCCCUGCCCCUAUCUGCUGUCCUCCCCUUCUUCCCACAUUCUAGCACCUCAGGACCCCCAGUUUGGUGCAGAUGUAGGACAGGAACAGGCGGUGGCCUUGGCAUGGAGGGGACCACGUCCCGGUGCUCCUGCACAGCCACCUCCGCACAGCUCCCGCUUAAAUCAGCCCCUGCUCUCCCGCUGGGUAACACAGGGAGACGCGGCGCUGCUGGUUCCCCGGGCGCUCGGCAUGGCUGAGCACUCGAAGAUGCUCAUGGUGUCGCAUCGUUUCUCAGUGUCUGCAAACAAACAAAUAAACAAAUCAAUGGUGGCUGGUCUCUGAUGACUUUAGCUUCUCACAGAUUUUCAUUGGUUUUGCAGCUCCCGGAUGGAGAGAGAUGAUCCCGACAGUGCAAGAGGACUCAGCCUUGGAAACAGCGCUAGGCACAGGGAGGCUGCCGGGUCCCCAGCUGCAGGCCAGGUACGGGGGCUGAUGUGGCUGGGACAGCUCUCUGCGCUGGGGAAGGCUCGUGCUGGGUCUGUCUUGUGCUCUGUGUUAGCUCUCUGAGAUGGGUUUGGUAAACAGGUGGGGCUUUCUUGCUGAGAAUCUCAAAAUACAUACCCAGGAAGUGCAGAAGCCGGGCAGCGCCCCCCCCAACGCACGCCUGACCGGGGCUGUUACCCAGAUGCUGUUUGCUCCCACUCGUGCUCAGGCUGUCCCUGCAACGCGAGCAGGGCAGCAACGAGAAUCCAGCAACCUCUAUCCCGGCAGCCGCAGAGCUCAGGUUGAGAUGAGCCUGUGCUAGAGCCUGUGUUGGUGGAGAGAUGGGGGAGCUGGAAGGGACCUGCGCUAAACCAGCGGAGGCAGAUCCAGCCUGUAGCCCUGACAAGCCCCAGGGCACAGGUGAUGUGGGGACAAAGGCUCUGCAGCCGCCCCCCGGUCUCGCAGGGGGCGCGGGCGGCGGGGGCGCAGGGCGCUGCGGAGCCGGGGCGGCGAUGCCCUCUCGUGGGGACGCUGCGGAGCGGAUCUGGAACAAGCUGCAGCUGUAGGACGCUCCAACCAGGGCGAACUCACUCGUGCACAGCUGGUUUGGUUUUCUUUCUCCCUUUUGCCAACACACCUGUCAGUCAGGGUUGUGAUUUUGUUUGCUCCCUACGGUCCUUUCAGACUUCCCAAUACCAACCAUCUUUUUCCAGAAUAAAAUCCCCCAAACAUGUGGGAUUCUCCAGCCCUGGUGGGACUUGAAUAUAGAUAAUCCAGGUCCCCCAUCACCUGCCCCAAAGGCAGCAUUGUGCCCUCCCUGCUGCAGAGCUGCGGCGAUGAGCAGAGCUGGUCCUCAUCCCUUUGCUUUGCAGCUGAGCUCCUGCUGAUCCCACAAAUACCAGAAAAUCAGGCUGUAACUUGGGCAAGGGGUAGUUCACCUGAUACCUUCCUGGAGCUUGUUAGCAGAGAAUUAGAGGCUCUGUCCUCACCAUGGCUGCGUCACCCUCCCUUGAGCCCAAAAUGCAGUUCAACAGGAAAAAGCACAAUACUUGUGUCUCUAACUCUCUGUGGGUUACAGGGAUGAUCCUGGGCCUCGUGCAAAGGCUGCCAGACGUUACCUUGCAAGGAAUCUUUUUAAUCUGCCAGAUUAUUUCCUUCCCAUUCCCUUCCAUCACUUUUACGGCCCCGCACACAUGCACAGGUCUCGCCGCGUCCCAACGGGGGGCGGGAAAUCCAGCCCGCGCUGCGCAGGAAGCGCCUGAUUCAUCGCUCUUAAUUCCUUUUGCCAUUUGCCAUAAUAACAAUAAUCAAAAUGAAUUAAUUUGGUGUUAGUGGAGAAAGAACAUUGAAAAUGCAUGGGAAUGGUGCUGCAAUCAAAUAAGAUACAUGUCGAUUUAAAGUAAGAUCUCUUCAUCUCUUUAAUAGCCGUCUACCUACCUUUGACUAUUUUUUAUUCUCAAGGACGGACUAUCAUAUUAAUACAACUUAUAUUUAUACUAAAACGUUUUCCAUCUUUCACAGCUUGUUCUAAAUAUCUCAGUAAAUGUAAAGUGGAUUUCUUCCUUUCAUCCUUCCCUAAAAUGAGGCAGAUGAUAAAAACUCGAGUUUUCCCCACAACCAACGUACCUUUUUAUAGCUUAUUUGGAUUCAAGCAAAAUAUAUCAAUUAGAUGAUCCUGUGGAGCAGCUUCUUGUUUAUGGGGUGAUAACUCCAGGCAUACAAACAAACUCUCUGGGUAUGUGGCCAUGGUGUUCAUUAGCCAAAGGUGUAUUUAUAUGAGGCUAAUAGGAAACACCAUCCAUUUAUUACUAACACUAGAUAAAGGUCAGAGCUAAUAAAGGACUUAUUCACUUAAAAUGGGACUUGGGUGCCAGAUUUAGGCUCUUGUCUGAAAUAGAGAAGCCCCUUCAGAGGCUUGUGGUGCCUUGUGGAGUCUCCUCUGGAGACAUUCACACCCGCCUGGACCGACCUGUGUGACCUGCUCUGGUGACCCUGUGACCACAGCCACUCUGUGAUGUGCGAUCUGUGAUCUGUGACCCGUGAUCUGCAAUCUGAUCUGUGACCUGUGAUCUGUGACCUGUGAUCUGAUCUGUGAUCUGCAAUCUGAUCUGUGAUCUGUGAUCUGUGACCUGUGAUCUGAUCUGUGAUCUGCAAUCUGAUCUGUGACCUGUGAUCUGUGACCUGUGAUCUGAUCUGUGAUGUGUGAUGUGUGAUCUGUGACCUGUGAUCUGUGAUCUGCAAUCCGAUCUGUGAUCUGUGAUGUGUGAUGUGUGAUCUGUGACCUGUGAUCCGAUCUGUGAUCUGCAAUCUGAUCUGUGAUCUGUGAUGUGCGAUCUGUGACGUGUGAUCUGCGAUCUCUGACCACCCCUGCUCCGCAGGACACCUCUGGUCCUGUCCCAGGCGCACAGUGACCUCCCGGUGACGCCAGGAGGUGUGACGAGUCCCUUGAGCAAAGGGCUCUACCCCCAUCCCUGUGCUCUGCGGGGAGGAGACGCUGGAUGGGACGAGGCGCUCUGACCACAGGGAGAUCUCAGAUAAACACGGCUCACAGGGACCAGCCGGGACAGCAGGAGCGAGAACCGUUCUCCAUGAGGAGAACUUCACGGGGAAAUAUGAAAGAAACAAAUGAGAAUUGCCGUGCUGGUGUGACAGCGAGGAGAGCUCCGAGCCGGGACGCUGAACGGAAUGAUAAAUCCCAUCACUUAAACCGCGUAAUGAAUUUUCCUGGCGAUUUGUCUCAGUGUAAAGAGGGGGAGAGGGGAAAGGUAGGAAGUUCUGCUUGGAUUUUGCAGAGGGGCUGUGGGCAGCGCUGACUGGGGAGUGCAAAUCCAAAGGGUUCGUGCCUGCAGCGCAUCCAAAUCAGCUCCCCUUCCACAACAGUCGGGGUGCAGUUCUCAAUGAAACGUCAAAUCGGCUUUGCCUCCACUGGCACUCAUUCUAAUAACAUUAUUUUGUCCAAGGAGCCUGGAGAACUAACGUGUUAACGUGUUCCAGGAGUAGUUCUGCAGCUAAAUGGAGGAAAAGGAUUUGUUUUGAUUUUUUUUUUGCAUUACAAGACAUUUCUGUGCUGUGAGGGACAUCUGUGGGGGCUGGAAAAUCCUUCGCCAUCUAUUUGCUGGGUGACCUUGGAUAAAUCACUGUCCCCCUCAGUGCUUAUUUCUCCUUUCCUCUCUGAGCUUCCCACGUAUUCAGGUCCCAAGGCCUUUGGGGCAGGGACACAUUUGUGCUGUGUCCUGCACAGCACACAGCACCAGGACCAUCAGAGACCUAACCAGCGGCUCUUUGCAGAGUGUUUAAAGGAAUCCCAAGGACUGUCUGCAAAAAGCACGUUUUAACCUUGAAAAGACAAGGUGGAUUCAUUCAAGCGAACGCUCGGGUCAGCGAUACAGCGAUACAGCAGCGCCUGGCCCCGUGUCACCCAGGAAAGGUUUACAAGCAGCUCUGAGCUGCAGGGAAGCACCAGCCCCAGCUCCAGCAACCUCCCUCGUCCCCGUUCUCAGCAAACGCUUGCAGCCCGUUCAUUGACCCCAACAAUGGACAAUUACGGAUCUGCUGCACGAGGUGCAUUAGUUACACCCAUCUGGCUUCGCGGCACCCGCCGAGCUACCUUUACUUUCACGCAGAACAUUAAUGGGAGCAAUAGGCAUGACAACUCUUAUACACGGAGGCACCGGGCUCCUUACAGCGGGUAAAUGAACCUUGGAACUUACACAGAGCAGAAGGUAAUGAAGAGUAAUACCAGUUUUAAGCAAUUCAUAUAUUUUCCCUCUCACGCUCCUUCCCGCCGUCUCUUUCCCCUUCUCCUUCACCCUCUCCUUCCAGGGCCGAGCUGAGCGCCCACGUCUUGCUCAGCCGGCGGGUCCGUGGGGUGAACACGAACAAAAGGAGCACCUGCCUCACUCCUUUCGAGCUCUGCUGAAUAGAGAUUUACACCUUAAAACGCUCCAGAAUAUCACAAAAAAGAAGAAAAGGGAAGCAAGUUAUUAUUUUACAAUGUUAAAAAUGUUCUGGAAUGUAUAUAUUUGGGACUUACAACAGUAAUUUUUUUGCCCUGUUGCUGUUUGUCUGGUGUUUCCCUGGUUUGCCCUGCCUGGACAAUGGCAGAGUCCUGGCUGGAUAUUUCUGCUGCUAACAGGGUACUACUGUCAUCUCCCUCUCUUAGCACCUGAUCGUGGCUUAAGGACAGCAAGAACUUCUCAUGGAGUGUAUCAAACCCAUUGCCCUCACUGGCCUUUAGGCCUGGCACGUGUGUAUAGAUGCAUGCGAGCCUGUCUGUCCGUCACAGGGACACUUCUGUCGCCUGGUUAUUGACUGGUGAACGUGGAAAUGGGGUCUCAAGGAUGCAGCUCGGCAGGCCAGUGGGGAUCCUGCCCAAGAAGCUGACCCAGGCUCAGCAGAGAAGUGAUUUUGGGAACCGGAUUUCCCUGGGAGACAAUCCCUUCAUUUUGGAAGGAUGGUUUGUAUCUAGCUGGUGGGAUAGAGCAGAGGGCCCUGGUGCGGGAUUUUGGGGGCCAGAUCUCUAAACGGUAUGUGGCUUUUGAGCUCCAGGUGCUCGUAAUGGUUUACAGCUGUUUGAGGCAAGAGGCAGCUGCUCUGGUCACCAGCUCCACUGGGAGUUAACGUGGCCUAAUGCAGCACUGUCGCCUGAGCUUUGCUGAUGCGCCGAUGAUCUGAGCGCGGCGAUCCACCCCCCCCGGGCCCUCUGCCGGAGGGAGAGGAAAGCUGUGUCUGCAGGCAGCGUCCCAGCGGAGUGGAAACGGGAAGGCUGAAAGCCAAAAGAAUAAUUUAGAAAAUUACCAAAAAAUGCCGGUUUAAUUCUUUCCCAUUUCCUGAACUAUUUACAGCCCUGGAAAGCUCCUGAUGUGGUGGAAAGCAAGUGUGCUGAAAACACUCAAUUGCACAGAUAAAUCUGAGGUCUUUUAUGCUCAAUUUGGAGAUGUGAACAACACAGAAAUUUUUAUUCUAUAAUUCUUUUUCCUUCCUUAAUUUUUAUUCUUGGUUUGGACAGGCGGCGUAGCCAACAAGAGAAUCCGCGCGGGCUCGUCCUUGGUGCGGGUUUGACUCACCCGCACUCCAACGCCGUGGCUGCAAAACCAGCCCGAGCCGGCGCUGCCCACCCGGCAGCGGCUCCGGCCGCGGCGCGCGGGGUCAGACACCAAAGCGAGCGGAGCGUCUUCCCAUUUCCUUCCGGGAAACGAACGGUUGUUCCCGGCAGCUGGAGCCGUGAAGCAGAGGGUGCUUUGUUGCGAAUGCAGCUGAAAUUUGCUCUUCCAGGCGGGAGCAGGCGGCGCGGCACGAGGCGCUGCGGCGCAAAUCGCAGCUCCCUUCGUUUGGGCUUCAGAUUAUGGGACUAAAAUUACAUUUAAGCUCUUUGCAGAAAGGUAAUUUUUCCUAAUCACUCACACUGCUGCACAGAUCUCUACAACUUGAUUACAUCCUAAUUAGAUUAAUUGGAUGGAGAAUGAAUUUUUUUCCAAGAAGAUCAACUGGAGAAGACGAGCAAUUCUAUAGACUCCGCAGGGGAAAACCAAACCAACCAACAACAGAACCCACAACCCUCACUCAAAGCUUUAAAACCAAAGCACAGAAUGCACAGUAAUUAAAUUGUUAAAGAAUUUAUGAGUAUAUCUGAAUGAGAUAGUUUGGGGCUUUUUUUUCCCUUUCCCUCUUUCAUCAUUUUCCCCUGUGCUCUCCCUCUUUUUCUCCUGACCAUAAGCCGAGAUGUGGAAUUCCAAUUCCUUCAUUGAUUUCUGAGAUAGAAAUUUAAGAAACUCAAGUAACAAAAGGCUGCACUCGGGCGCUCUGCAUGCGAAAUGGAUUGCCUUUGUUACAGGGGCACAAAAUAUCGAGCUGUAUAAUGCUGCCAGGUCUUCGGCCUGAAUACUAAUGGUCGUUACUUACCAGAAAUGAACACAAGCCCAUGAGGUUCAGCAUCUCCCAGUUGGCUUUGGCAUCGCAACAAAGGGACGAGGGACUCGAACAGGGGGUGAAUUGAUGCUGUGCAGCUUUUUUCUGCUGGAUGCAUCCAUCUGGUAGCGCCCGUGGCCACUUCAAACAGCCGGCGAAGUGCUCGGAGGCUGUGUUCUGAUGUCCCCACUGGACUCUGGUUUGCCCUUUCCCCGGGCAGCGCUCAGCUCUGCUGGGAACAAGGUCGAGCCGAGGUGCGUGAAUCCAUGGCUAUAAAUUCAUCCUUCCCCGGCAGGCACAGGUCACCGGAUCGCGUGGCUCUUCUGCCGCCCGCCCUGCACCCACAACAAUGGGGGGCUGCAGACCCAGCCCGCUGGUGGCGGGGGACCCACGAGGGCUGCAAGGAGACACUGGCUGGAAACUCAUCCUUGAAGCUCUGAUGUGUCCAGCAAGAGGUUCAGAGGCAUCAGGGCCCACCAGCUCCUGGGAAGGACACAAAGGCUCCCCAGUCGCUUUCUCUUGUCUCUUAAAAAUCCAUCUUUGACUAGAACAAGAAGGGAACUUCACUGCUUGACCUUCAACAUGCCAAGCAGGUCACAAACGGGCACAAACAGGACCAGGUUUGUUCUGGAGACUCUCAGGUCAACGCUACUCUUUUCUGAACUAUCCUGCAAGGCUGCUGAGAAAAUGCACCUUCCUGCUCUUCAAGGAACGAGCAAACUGCACCGACCUGCAUCUGCGCUGGAGACCAUUGCUGCUGAACGACAGUACCGACCCCUCUUCCUGCCCGCUCGCGGCCGUCGUUUCACAUGAGACGGGGGCAGAUUUACGCCUCGGCAGUUCAGCGGCUCCGCAAGGUGUUCGGCGGGUUUGUGCUGAAUGCAAAGUGCGCUCCCGAGCUUGAAAUAUGAAAAGUAUUUGGGUAAGGCAGAUAGGCCAGCUUGAAGACAUAAUCCACAGGAAAAAUGACAGGGUCUGGCAAAGCCAAAGCAAGAACUGAAAUUAAUAGCAAGAGAUCUAUUAAAAGGAUUAGCUGCAUGUUGUAACACUUAUAAUGCUUUAUCUCACAGUGGUUGUGGCAGGAACUGUAUAAUUCCCUGAAACAAAUGGCUAGGGGAUGAUUUAUAGAUUGGAGAGGGUGGAGAAAAACUUCACACACUUGGAUUUCCAAACCUUUGCGCUUUAGUUGGGGGUGAGAGAUGGCGACUGGCCCCCCGGCACCAUCUCUGUUGGUGUCUUGGUUGGGAUCAAGAGGUGCCUGCGCGGGGAUCCUCGCUGCUGUCCCCACGGAGCCAUCCUGGGGAGCAUGAACUGCAUGGGCAGCUGUGCUCUGGGAGACCCCAACCAUGUCUGGAGCGUGGGAAGGGCGGGGGCUGGUCCAAAUCACAGAAUCACAGACGGUUUGGGUUAGAGGGACCUUCCCAGCCCCCCGGUGCCCCCCCUGCCAUGACAGGGACAUCUUCACCAGCUCAGGGUGCUCAGAGCCCCAUCCAGCCUGGCCUGGGAUGUCUCAGGGAUGGUUCAUCUACCACCUCUCUGGGAACCUGGGCCAGGCUCUCACCACCCUCAGUGCAAAUCCCUUCCCCAUGUCUCAUUGUUGAAGCAGACACAGCCAAACACACAAAUAUUGCCUCUAGUUUUGAAGGGGAGCUGUGGUUUUGGGGACCUUCUGUCUCUACGGAGAAGCCAGCGGGAUUUGCUGCGUUCUGCACACCCGUGUUCCGUCUCUCCAGUUUAUCCCCUGGGCAGCCGAAGCACCACGAGCCACUUCUGCAAAGGUGAGGCCCUGACAUUUUGUCAGCACGAAAUGGACAGCUUAAGUGUAUAUAUGCGCAUAUAUCUCUAUAUCUACAAAUAUUAAAAUGGCAGAUUUGAGCUGCCAGAGGUCUGAGUGCUGGACUUUACAGCCUCAACCUUUUUUGGAUGUAAUUCUUGGUGUGCCAUUGGUAAGAUUAAAUGAAGAAAUAAAGCAGAAGAUGGAAAAGCCAUUGCCAGGACCACACAGCAGGGCUGGAGCACACUCCUGUCUCCAGGUCUAUAACACUGAGCUUGGUUUCUCCCAGGUCUGGCUCAGGUGGUAACAGCGACGCUCUCCUGGGCUGCCGGGGGAAGAGCCAUCGUGUACACUCCGGGCUGUUCACAGGCUCCUGGACCUCCUGGUUCACCACGCAGCCUAACCAGCUCAUUUUAUGUUCCUGACCCUCGUUAGCCAGUUUUAAGAGAAUGGAAAGAAGGGAAAGAUCAGUUUUCGUCAUUUCUUUCACAAUAUGCCCCUAAAAGGAGCCUCAUAAAAUAUGAAUUCCACUGAAUGUGCCUGUUUCUAAAUUCAGAACAUGUGUCGGGGUGAAUCUGUAGCUCAGAAAUGAAGGACAAACCGCCUGGGACGGGAGGUUUGCAGGCAGUCCACCCUCAGCCCUCGUCCUUCGCGUGCGAUGUUGACACGAGACGU